AAUUGCUGGUAGUGCAAAGGGCGUGAGAACAGCUGAGACAGUUCAGCACAUACAAGGUUCUAGGAGCUGAUUGAUUUUAAACGCAAAUCUUGCCUUCAAGCAGAAAUCUGAUAUCCACCCUGGCAAGGGAGACAGAAUCCUGCAGAUCUGACUUCACAGGUCGCUGCUAUAUGGCACAGCAAGCUUCUCCUUGGAGUCUCUAACUGAAACUAGCACUAAUGGUGACUACGCUGAAAGAGACAGAUACACUCCCUCAUGAGCCUUGGAUCUUGCCAGGAUCUCAUAAUGGCUGCCACAGAAACCUAAGGAUCAGUUGACUAGUUCUAAUCUAGAUGAUACAUCUCCUCCUGUAACAGACUUCCUCCCCUGACACAUCCAGGGAAGGGUUCAGAAUGAUAGUUGUGAGAGUCAGUAAUGAACCUGUGUACUAUCAAAUUCCCAUUAUGUUGUUACAAAACCAUUUCUGAAAAGGUAUACUGGAGCUUGUUUCACACAAAGACUUUACGUUUAAAAU